rnacentral:rRNA from 1 species
AGUAACGCGUGAGGAACCUGCCUCAGANAGGGGGAUAACACACCGAAAGGGUGUGCUAAUAACCGCAUAACAUAUGAGAGGGGCANCCCUUUUAUAUCAAAGAUUUAUUGCUCUGAGAUGGCCUCGCGUCCAAUUAGCUAGUUGGUGAGGUAACGGCCCACCAAGGCGACGAUUGGUAGCCGGACUGAGAGGUUGAACGGCCACAUUGGGACUGAGACACGGCCCAGACUCCUACGGAAGGCAGCAG